rnacentral:rRNA from 1 species
GACGAACGCUGGCGGCGUGCUUAACACAUGCAAGUCGAACGGAAAGGCCCUGCUUUUGUGGGGUGCUCGAGUGGCGAACGGGUGAGUAACACGUGAGUAACCCGCCCCUGACUUUGGGAUAACUUCAGGAAACUGGGGCUAAUACAGGAUAGGAGCUCCUGCUGCAUGGUGGGGGUUGGAAAGUUUCGGCGGUUGGGGAUGGACUCGCGGCUUAUCAGCUUGUUGGUGGGGUAGUGGCUUACCAAGGUUCUGACGGGUAGCCGGCCUGAGAGGGUGACCGGCCACAUUGGGACUGAGAUACGGCGCAGACUCCUACGGGAGGCAGCAGUGGGGAAUAUUGCGCAAUGGGCGGAAGCCUGAUGCGACGACGCCGCGUGCGGGAUGACGGCCUUCGGGUUAUAAACCGCUUUCGCCUGUGACGAAGCGUGAGUGACGGUAAUGGGUAAAGAAGCACCGGCUAACUACGUG